UACGGAGGGUGCAAACGUUGCUCGGAAUCAUUGGGCGUAAAGCGCACGUAGGUGGCUUGUUAAGUCGGGUGUGAAAUCCCUGGGCCUCAACCCAGGAAGUGCACUCGAAACUGGCGAGCUUGAGUACUGAAGAGGGUCGCGGAAUUCCCGGUGUAGAGGUGAAAUUCGUAGAUAUCGGGAGGAACACCAGUGGCGAAGGCGGCGACCUGGGCAGAUACUGACACUGAGGUGCGGAAAGCGUGGGGAGCAAACAGG
rnacentral:rRNA from 1 species